rnacentral:misc_RNA from 1 species
CGUCUCUGGAACCUGCCGGCGCUUAAGUGGUUGCCGCUUUUCGCUUUUCCGCUGCUUGCAAGUGUCAACCCGCCGAUGCGGCAAGUGUGAACGCAUACGUGUAAUACAUAUAUAUAUAUAUAUGCUAAAGGAGGUGCUUUCCGCACCAUGCCUCUCUUCUCAAGUGGGAACACGCCGGUGAUGCCACCUACACCAACUUCGGCGGCCAAGGAUGCGCCGCAGGGCCCGAGUGGCUUUAGCCGUGCCGCCGCACUGACGUACCGCACGGCGCCGCACCCGAGCGACUCGACCGACGGCGUCUUCGAGGCGCUACUCAUGCUGGCAGCUGACCGGUUGAACCCCAAUGGUGAGGCGAUGAAAGAGAACAGCAGUAGCGGUGCGUCUCACUCCAAGAAGGGUAGCUGGCUCGGGCGUGCGUGGAGACACGUGGUGGACUAUGCCACCAACAACCUCCUGAAGAUGCGUCAGGCAGACUUCCUCAACGCCUUCUCCCGCCAGCUUGAGGUGAACCCGGCGGAGGAGUCGAGCACCGUGAUGGUAAGCUGUCAGUGUUUUAUAGUUAGCGGCGGCAAGCUGCGUUUCGGCUCCCUUUUUGCCACAAACUGCGGCUUGUAUUUUUGCUCCUGCGCACCAGAGGCCGCGCCGGCGGCCGCGGAAUCGGAUGCCGGCGCAACCAGCUCCGCAGGCCGUAGAGGUGCCGAGGAUGAGGUUGAGUACAUAAAAGAGCGUAUUCUCUUCACGGACGUGGCAUCCCUUCUACCCUCCAUCUUUCUGGAGCAGAAUGGAACGGCCACGCCCUUCAUACAGGGCAUCCCAAACGGCGUUGUGGCCCCGACGGCCCUGCAGGUGUUCACGGUGCAGCUCAGCACGGUGCUGCAAUUCUUACACCUUCACAACGUCGGCGUGAAGAGGCCAAAAAGGUCAGCCGCGGAGGCCGAGAAGGGCGGCGCCGGCGCAGUGCAAGAAGCGCCCUGCAUUGACGUUGUGCAAAAGCACGAGUUCAACCUCGUCUGCGAGUUACCCCCCAGCCUCGACACGCUCAAGUUUUGCGCGCUGUUGUGGCGCCUGUGGGCUCAGCGCCUCCACGACCUUGGCCGCCCACUCGAGCACCCCGCCGUCCACUACGCGGAGCCGCACUGAGAGCACCUCGGCGCCCUUGAGUGCUGGGUGCCCACGCGUUAUUGUGUUUCUUUCGUGAAUGCUUCCUUUCUGCUGUGUUUUUUAUUUGGUAUAGCCCAGCACGUUUCGGCCUAGCAAACUAGAAACCCGCUGCGUUCAACGUGACCUCGCAGCCCCCCCCCCCCUUCUCGAUGACAGGGGACACGUCAGAGUGUGGCAUCGCGGGGUCAGAUACCCGCGAUAUGGGGGGAGGUCAGAGCGAUGUAUCGUAGCCGAUGUCGGCUACCAGGUCCUGGACGGCGUUUCGUCGGUGCGAAUAGCAAGAAUGAACGCGCUUUUACAGUUCACAUCAUAGGCGGAGUGCCACCGUGGCCCAAACGAAUCCAACUCCCGGGCACCCAUUUCUACCUUCGUGAAGCCCAAAUGCCCCCCUGAAGGGGGAUGCGGCGGGCGACAGCCGGGAUCAUAGGAGCGACUGCGGGGCGGCUGGCGACGCAGGGGGGGGGGGGGCGAGUGGGGUUUGAGGCGGGGGCCGCGCCCUCAGAUGACCGGGUCGGCGGAUUGCUGUGGUGGAUGCGUCCGCGGCUACCACGCGGCUGGGCCUUCGGAAAGCCGAGCACAGUGAAUUUCAACUCGCGCAAGAAUGGGCACGCCCAAAACGAAAACCACCUGCUUCUGUAUGCCUGCCCCUCCCCUGGCCGACGAGGGCGCGGGCCCGCCUCCUGCGCCGACGGGGGUGUGGCCGGGCCCGCCAAGCCCCAAAAGGGGGCGGGCCCGCGAACCCCGAACCCCCCCCCGGCCAAACCACUGCACGCCCCACCUAAGCCCAACCAUCACCUGGCCACAAACCCACCCCACGCACCAAG